rnacentral:ncRNA from 1 species
AGGAGCCGUAUGAGGUGAAAAUCUCAUAUACGGUUUUGUAGAGGGGGAACCUUAGCAUGGGGGACAUCCUAAUCCUUUUAAGUUUUGCUCUAUUUUUCUCUCCUGU